CAGUUUUUGGCUUAUAACUCAAAAACCAAAGCAUUUAGAGCAAAUCUGACAUAGGUAAAAUUGUUUAUCAGGUCAAGAUCUAUCUGCCCUGAAAUUUUCAGACGAAUCAGACAACCCGUUGUUGGGUUGCUGCCCCUAAAAUGGUAAUUUUAAGGAAAUUUUACUGUUUUUGGUUAUUAUCUUGAAUAUUAUUAUAGAUAGAGAUAAACUGUUAACAGCAAUAAUGUUCAGCAAAGUAAGAUUUACAAAUAAGUCAACAUGACCGAAAUGGUCAGUUGACC
rnacentral:lncRNA from 1 species